AUGGGGGCAACCCUGAUCUAGCCAUGCCGCGUGUGUGAUGAAGGCCCUAGGGUCGUAAAGCACUUUCGCCAGAGAUGAUAAUGACAGUAUCUGGUAAAGAAACCCCGGCUAACUCCGUGCCAGCAGCCGCGGUAAUACGGAGGGGGUUAGCGUUGUUCGGAAUUACUGGGCGUAAAGCGCACGUAGGCGGAUUAGUAAGUUAGAGGUGAAAUCCCAGGGCUCAACCCUGGAACUGCCUUUAAUACUGCUAGUCUUGAGUUCGAGAGAGGUAAGUGGAAUUCCGAGUGUAGAGGUGAAAUUCGUAGAUAUUCGGAGGAACACCAGUGGCGAAGGCGGCUUACUGGCUCGAUACUGACGCUGAGGUGCGAAAGUGUGGGGAGCAAACAGGAUUAGAUACCCUGGUAGUCCACACCGUAAACGAUGAAUGCCAGACGUCAGCAAGUAUACUUGUUGGUGUCACACCUAACGGAUUAAGCAUUCCGCCUGGGGAGUACGGUCGCAAGAUUAAAACU
rnacentral:rRNA from 1 species